AUUGAACGCUGGCGGCAGGCUUAACACAUGCAAGUCGAGCGGAGACUUCGGUCUUAGCGGCGAACGGGUGAGUAAUACCUAGGAAUCUGCCCAUUAGCGGGGGACAACGUUUCGAAAGGAACGCUAAUACCGCAUACGCCCUACCGGGGAAAGGACAGGGGAGUCUUUUGUACCUUGUCACUAAUGGAUGAGCCUAGGCCGGAUUAGCUAGUUGGUAGGGUAAAGGACCUACCAAGGCGACGAUCUGUAGCUGGUCUGAGAGGAUGACCAGCCACACUGGAACUGAGACACGGUCCAGACUCCUACGGGAGGCAGCAGUGGGGAAGUAUUGGACAAUGGGCGCAAGCCUGAUCCAGCCAUGCCGCGUGUGUGAAGAA
rnacentral:rRNA from 1 species